rnacentral:rRNA from 1 species
UCAUCUCCGGGGGUAGAGCACUGUUUCGGCAAGGGGGUCAUCCCGACUUACCAACCCGAUGCAAACUGCGAAUACCGGAGAAUGUUAUCACGGGAGACACACGGCGGGUGCUAACGUCCGUCGUGAAGAGGGAAACAACCCAGACCGCCAGCUAAGGUCCCAAAGUCAUGGUUAAGUGGGAAACGAUGUGGGAAGGCCCAGACAGCCAGGAUGUUGGCUUAGAAGCAGCCAUCAUUUAAAGAAAGCGUAAUAGCUCACUGGUCGAGUCGGCCUGCGCGGAAGAUGUAACGGGGCUAAACCAUGCACCGAAGCUGCGGCAGCGACGCUUAUGCGUUGUUGGGUAGGGGAGCGUUCUGUAAGCCUGCGAAGGUGUACUGUGAGGUAUGCUGGAGGUAUCAGAAGUGCGAAUGCUGACAUAAGUAACGAUAAAGCGGGUGAAAAGCCCGCUCGCCGGAAGACCAAGGGUUCCUGUCCAACGUUAAUCGGGGCAGGGUGAGUCGACCCCUAAGGCGAGGCCGAAAGGCGUAGUCGAUGGGAAACAGGUUAAUAUUCCUGUACUUGGUGUUACUGCGAAGGGGGGACGGAGAAGGCUAUGUUGGCCGGGCGACGGUUGUCCCGGUUUAAGCGUGUAGGCUGGUUUUCCAGGCAAAUCCGGAAAAUCAAGGCUGAGGCGUGAUGACGAGGCACUACGGUGCUGAAGCAACAAAUGCCCUGCUUCCAGGAAAAGCCUCUAAGCAUCAGGUAACAUCAAAUCGUACCCCAAACCGACACAGGUGGUCAGGUAGAGAAUACCAAGGCGCUUGAGAGAACUCGGGUGAAGGAACUAGGCAAAAUGGUGCCGUAACUUCGGGAGAAGGCACGCUGAUA